rnacentral:rRNA from 1 species
AGAUUGAACGCUGGCGGUAUGCUUAAUACAUGCAAGUCGAGCGGCCACUUCGGUGGCAGCGGCGGACGGGUGAGUAACGCGUGGGAAUGUGCCCUUUGGUACGGAACAACUGAGGGAAACUUCAGCUAAUACCGUAUGUGCCCUUCGGGGGAAAGAUUUAUUGCCAUUGGAGCAGCCCGCGUUGGAUUAGCUAGUUGGUGGGGUAAAGCCCACAAGGCGACGAUCCAUAGCUGGUCUGAGAGGAUGAUCAGCCACACUGGGACUGAGACACGGCCCAGACUCCUACGGGAGGCAGCAGUAGGGAAUCUUGCGCAAUGGGCGAAAGCCUGACGCAGCCAUGCCGCGUGAAUGAUGAAGGUCUUAGGAUUGUAAAAUUCUUUCACCGGGGAAGAUAAUGAACGGUACCCGGAGAAGAAGCCCGCUAACUUCGUGCCAGCAGCCGC